UGGCACCUCAGCGGCAAACGGGUGAGUAACACGUGAGUAACCUGCCCUCAGGAAGGGGAUAACCCUCCGAAAGGGGGGCUAAUACCCUAUAAUGUCAGUCACCAUUAAGGUGGCUGACCAAAGGUGGCCUCUGCUCUGCAUGCUACCGCCUGAGGAGGGGCUCGCGGCCCAUCAGGUAGUUGGUGGGGUAACGGCCUACCAAGCCUAUGACGGGUAGCCGGCCUGAGAGGGUGUCCGGCCACAGUGGGACUGAGACACGGCCCACACCCCUACGGGGGGCAGCAGUGGGGAAUCGUGGGCAAUGGGCGAAAGCCUGACCCCGCGACGCCGCGUGGAGGAAGAAGCCCUUCGGGGUGUAAACUCCUGUCAGGGGGGAAGAUGCUCACAGAGGUGAAUAAUCUCUGUGGGUGACGGUACCCCCAGAGGAAGGGACGGCUAACUACGUGCCAGCAGCCGCGGUAAUACGUAGGUCCCGAGCGUUGCGCGAAUUCACUGGGCGU
rnacentral:rRNA from 1 species